rnacentral:rRNA from 1 species
UGGGGAAUAUUGUACAAUGGGCGCAAGCCUGAUCCAGCCAUGCCGCGUGUGUGAAGAAGGCCUUUUGGUUGUAAAGCACUUUAAGCGAGGAGGAGGCUACUUGGAUUAAUACUCUAAGAUAGUGGACGUUACUCGCAGAAUAAGCACCGGCUAACUCUGUGCCAGCAGCCGCGGUAAUACAGAGGGUGCGAGCGUUAAUCGGAUUUACUGGGCGUAAAGCGUGCGUAGGCGGCUUCUUAAGUCGGAUGUGAAAUCCCUGAGCUUAACUUAGGAAUUGCAUUCGAUACUGGGAAGCUAGAGUAUGGGAGAGGAUGGUAGAAUUCCAGGUGUAGCGGUGAAAUGCGUAGAGAUCUGGAGGAAUAACGAUGGCGAAGGCAGCCAUCUGGCCUAAUACUGACGCUGAGGUACGAAAGCAUGGGGAACAAACAGG